rnacentral:misc_RNA from 1 species
AUGUUUACGGAAAACGGAGCGCUCGCAGCGACGAUUUCUCCGCUCGCUAAGAAAAUAUUAACUGAUAGCGGGCUAAGAGUUCGAUAGCUUAUCAGUGACUCCUUCGCGCGUUCUACAACUUGUGGAGCAUAAUAGAAUUGGCGGUGAUAACGGCGGAAAGUCGAUAGUUUGCUUUCUCCAGAGUCAGAAAAGUUCUCGCGACCAGUUCAAAGGAAUUAUUGAAUUUUGCAGUUAUCGCGGGGGCGAAGUUUGUGCAAAGAUUCAUCGGGUCGUGUGGCAAGCAGAGGUCGAAAAAAGAAAACAGCUGGAAAGUGAACGCGAUGUCUAUGGAGGAACCAGUACCUGUGAACCCCGCGGAUUUGAAGGAUCUUAAGGAGCGAAUGCGACUGAUCGCAGAAGCGGACCCGAAACAAUAUCACAACGAGUACUCGCUGAAACGAUAUCUGCGAGCCUUCAAGACAGUCGAUGCUGCUUUCCAGGCCAUUCUCAAGACGAACAAAUGGCGUGAAGAAUAUGGUGCAGCGAACCUAGCCGGCACCCCGGCUGUCCAAAACAACUCGAAUAAGGCACGUGUCCUGCGAAACAGAGACUGCUUCGGGCGUCCCGUCAUCUACAUUCCAGCUAAAAAUCACAAUGCUUCCGAGCGCGACAUCGACGAACUGACAAAGUUCAUAGUAUAUUGCCUGGAGGAGGGAUGUGGCAAGUGUUUCGAAGAGGUCAUCGAUAAUCUCUGCAUCAUCUUCGACCUGGCCGAGUUCAGCACGUCCUGCAUGGACUACCAGCUGGUGAAGAACAUCAUCUGGCUCCUGAGCAAGCAUUACCCGGAGCGGCUAGGCGUGUGCUUAAUCAUCAAUGCACCUGUUGUGUUCUCGACAAUCUGGCCAGUGAUUCGCACCUGGCUGGACGACAAUACAGCCAAGAAGGUUGUCUUUGUGGAUAACGAGAUUGAGCUCUGCAAAUACAUAAUACCCGACAUCCUACCGAACGAUAUGUAAACCAAACCAAACCAAACAUAUGAAACCCUUAGCCGAUAAGAUAACUUGGUAUACGUAUCAGAAAACUGUCGUCGAUUUCUGUUACCGUUCGUUGUGUUUGGAGAAGAUAAUCAAUGUUUACAAAUAUCGGCUCGACUUGAAGCGGCCGAGAUAGGUGUAGUGGAAUGCGGAAUGCAAUACGAUGCUUUUUACUUGUGUUCUAUCAUCAGAAGUUAUCCGAGUAAGAAUUCAAUGCGAGUAGUAGUGUGGCGGGGAGAAAUGUAUGUGUUGAUGUCUAAUAUGUAGUGAACAUGACAUGUAAAUGUGUAUUGUAAAAAUAUGUAAUUUAUAUUUGAGAAGAAAUCUUCAGGUCGUUGUAGUGAAGAAGUGUAAAUACAGAAAGAUUAGUCUGUAAA